UACGUAGGCAGCAAGCGUUGUUCGGAGUUACUGGGCGUAAAGGGCGCGUAGGCGGCCUUCUAAGUCGAACGUGAAAUCCCUGGGCUCAACCCAGGAACUGCGUCCGAUACUGGAAGGCUUGAAUCCGGGAGAGGGAUGCGGAAUUCCAGGUGUAGCGGUGAAAUGCGUAGAUAUCUGGAGGAACACCGGUGGCGAAGGCGGCAUCCUGGACCGGUAUUGACGCUGAGGCGCGAAAGCCAGGGUAGCAAACGGG
rnacentral:rRNA from 1 species